GCUGGGCACGGUGGCGCGUGCCUCUAAUCCAAGUCACUGGGAGGCUGAGGUUGGCGGUUCGAUUGAGCUGAGGAGCUCUGCACUGUACCGACUAUGUUGAACGGGUGUCCAUGCUAAGUUCGGUAUCGGUAUGGUGGUUCUGGGGGAGCCUUGGACCACCAGGUCGCAUGUACGGGCCCAGGUCGGGAACGGAGCAGGUCAAAGCCCCGUGCGCUCAGUAGCAUCCGUGAAUAGACGAUACAGUGCAGCCUCGGCAAAACAGCGGUACCCAAUCUUUU
ensembl:misc_RNA Metazoa_SRP Metazoan signal recognition particle RNA